GGCAGUGUGGUGUAGCGGUUUGAGUGUUUGACUAUGACUCUGGGGACCGGAGUUUGAUUCCCUGCUUGGCCA